UGCAAAAACAUAAAAAUAAUUCAACCAAAAAGAUUCUAAAAUAUAUAUUCUAUUAUAAAAAAGACCCUCUUGAGUAAAACUAAAGGUUGCAGAUGAAAGUGGCGAUUGGAGUUGGAUAAUAUUAUGAUAAAGAGGGGGACUUAUUCUGGUGGAUAACGGUUGAAAACCUUGGGAUUAAAUGGUCAACAAUGGUAUGGUCAGCAGGCAUCGCGAGCUGUCAAUCAAGCCAUCGGUCGUGCAUUAUGUCAUAAUGAAGAUUAUGGAGCCAUACUCUUUUGUGACGAGAGGUUCUGCUAAGAAACAACAAAAGCGGAACUGCCAAAAUGGAUGAAGCCGUAUAUUUGUGCAUAUCCGACAUUUGAGGACCUUCAGAGGGAGCUUUCACACUAGCAACC